rnacentral:pre_miRNA from 1 species
UGGCAGUGUGGUUAGCUGGUUGUUGUUAAUGACCAGUUCAACGGCUAUCUGGCACUGCCCGCC